UGAUGACGAGACGCUAAGGCGUUGAAGCAGUGUAUGUCAGACUUCCAAGAAAAGCUUGCACUGUCAUAAGUAAAAAAUGCCUGUACCAUAACCGACACAGGUGGGUAGGUAGAGUAUACUAAGGGGCGCGAGAUAACUCUCUCUAAGGAACUCGGCAAAAUGACUCCGUAACUUCGGGAAAAGGAGUGCCUUAUUUAUAAGGUUGCAAUAACAAGAUCCAAGCAACUGUUUAUCAAAAACACAGGUCUCCGCUAAGUCGUAAGACGAUGUAUGGGGGCUGACGCCUGCCCAGUGCCAGAAGGUUAAAGAAGUUGGUUAGUGUAUGCGAAGCUGAUGACUGAAGCCCUGGUGAACGGCGGCCGUAACAAUAACGGUCCUAAGGUAGCGAAAUUCCUUGUCGGGUAAGUUCCGACCCGCACGAAAGGCGUAAUGAUUUGGAUACUGUCUCGGAGAGAGGCUCGGUGAAAUAGACUUGUCUGUGAAGAUGCGGACUACCUGCACCAGGACAGAAAGACCCUAUGAAGCUUUACUGUAACUUGAAAUUGGAAUUGGACUUUGCUUGCGCAGUAUAGGUGGGAAGCGUUGAAAAUAUUCUUGCGGGAGUAUUGGAGCUAUCAGUGAGAUACCACUCUUGUAAUGUUAGAUUUCUAACUUUGAACCAUAAUCUGGUCAAAGAACAGUUUCAGGUGGGCAGUUUGACUGGGGCGGUCGCCUCCCAAAUGGUAACGGAGGCGUACAAAGGUUUCCUCUGAACGGAUAGAAAUCGUAUCUAGAGUGUAAAGGCAUAAGGAAGCUUGACUGUGAGACCUACAAGUCGAGCAGGGACGAAAGUCGGUCUUAGUGAUCUGACGGUACUGAGUGGAAAGGCCGUCACUCAACGGAUAAAAGUUACUCUAGGAUAACAGGCUGAUCUCCCCCAAGAGUUCACAUCGACGGGGAGGUUUGGCACCUCGAUGUCGGCUCAUCGCAUCCUGGGGCGGUAGUACGUCCCAAGGGUUGGGCUGUUCGCCCAUGAAAGCGGUACGCGAGCUGGGUUCAGAACGUCGUGAGACAGUUCGGUCCAUAUCCGGUGUAGGCGCUAGAAUAUUGAGAGGAGCCUUCUUUAGUACGAGAGGACCGAGAAGGACACACCGCUGGUGUACCAGUUAUCGUGCCAACGGUAAACGCUGGGUAGCUAUGUGUGGAGUGGAUAACCGCUGAAAGCAUCUAAGUGGGAAGCCCACCUCGAGAUGAG
rnacentral:rRNA from 1 species